rnacentral:rRNA from 1 species
UACGGAGGAUCCAAGCGUUAUCCGGAUUCAUUGGGUUUAAAGGGUGCGUAGGCGGAAUGAUAAGUCAGUGGUGAAAGCCUGCAGCUUAACUGCAGAACUGCCAUUGAUACUGUCAAUCUUGAGUACAUUUGAUGUGGGCGGAAUGUGUCAUGUAGCGGUGAAAUGUUUAGAUAUGACACAGAACACCGAUUGCGAAGGCAGCUCACAAAACUGUAACUGACGCUGAGGCACGAAAGCGUGGGUAUCAAACAGG